rnacentral:rRNA from 1 species
AUUGAACGCUGGCGGCAGGCCUAACACAUGCAAGUCGGACGAGUGGCGGACGGGUGAGUAAUGUAUGGGAAACUGCCUGAUGGAGGGGGAUAACUACUGGAAACGGUAGCUAAUACCGCAUACCAUCAGAUGUACCCAUAUGGGAUUAGCUAGUAGGUGGGGUAACGGCUCACCUAGGCGACGCUCCCUAGCUGGUCUGAGAGGAGGAUCAGCCAAACUGGAACUGAGACACGGUCCAGACUCCUACGGGAGGCAGCAGUGGGGAAUAUUGCACAAUGGGCGCAAGCCUGAUGCAGCCAUGCCGCGUGUAUGAAGAAGGCCUUCGGGUUGUAAAGUACUUUCAGCGGGGAGGCGUUACCGGCAGAAGAAGCACCGGCUAACUCCGUGCCAGCAGCCGCGGUAAUAC